rnacentral:tRNA from 1 species
AGCUUAAUAAUUUAAGAAAAAUAUUAAAUUGCAAAUUUAAAUAUAGAAUUUUAUUCUUUAAGCUU